GAUGAACGCUAGCGGCAGGCCUAAUACAUGCAAGUCGAGGGGCAGCGGGGUAGCAAUACUGCCGGCGACCGGCGCACGGGUGCGUAACACGUAUGCAACCUACCUUAAACUGGGAGAUAGCCCGGGGAAACUCGGAUUAAUACCCCAUAAUACAUUUGGAUCACAUGAUUUGAUUGUUAAAGAUUUAUCGGUUUAAGAUGGGCAUGCGUUCGAUUAGCUAGUUGGUAAGGUAACGGCUUACCAAGGCUACGAUCGAUAGGGGGUCUGAGAGGAUGAUCCCCCACACUGGUACUGAGAUACGGACCAGACUCCUACGGGAGGCAGCAGUAGGGAAUAUUGGUCAAUGGAGGCAACUCUGAACCAGCCAUGCCGCGUGUAGGAAGAAGGCGUUCUGCGUUGUAAACUACUUUUGAUUGGGAACAAAUGACUCGUGCGCGAGUAGCUGAGUGUACCAAUAGAAUAAGCCACGGCUAACUACGUG
rnacentral:rRNA from 1 species